rnacentral:misc_RNA from 1 species
CUCGUGACUGAGAACCUCGGGUUGCCUAAUUUGGCGUAAAGAUCAAAGCAGGUUUCAUUAAUUGAGGUGGAGCGUGCUAAGCCAAGGUGCAGCCUAUAAGAGGAUUCUCAAGAACUUGUUCUAAACAGCGGAAGCUUUCCAUGAAUCCGCCCCACCGAACUGUGAUAGGCGCUCGUGCUAGGGUUCUGUGCGUUGCAUUGCUGGCUGCAUCCAGCCAACCUGCAUCUGCAUCAUUCUUUGACGAGCUGCAAGAUGCCGUUCAGAAUGUUGGCACAUUUCUGAAUGAAAUUGGUGUUGGCGCAACUCAAGUUCUGGAUGGUUGGCGCUUCAUCCAAGACUUUGUUGAUUCAACAAUUGAUGAGAACUGUGACUUCAAAUGCAACCUAGGCUAUGUCCCCAUCAACAACACCAACUAUAUACCAUCAUCAGAUGGUUGUGGCAGUCUUGGCAUCAAGUGGGACACUGAGCAGCUGCCAGUGGAGCAGCUGUCAGACUGUUGUGACGCACACGACCUCUGCUACGACACGUGCGGCGCCGACCGCGACUAUUGCGACCUGGCCUUCAAAAAGUGCCUGUAUGCUGCCUGCGAACGCCAAAAGCGCCAGCUGGACAAAAUCAGUCAGAAAGCAUGCAAGGGCACGUCGAAGCUGCUGUAUACGGGCACGCUGGCUCUGGGCUGUAAGUCGUACCGGGAUGCUCAGAAACGAGCCUGCACAUGCGUCAAGCAGGGGUCGAAAACCCCAUGACAAAGAACUUGAGUGCACUCCUUACGCAAGCGCCAUUUUACGCCAGUGGUGUUGACUUUCUCAGAACGGAGGCUGCCUGUGCCUGGUGAGCGACAAAAGAAGAGCUGCGUCAUGAGCGAGUUGUUCGGUUUGCCACCCAGCGAAGGAGCCGGACAGUGUGGCUGGGAUCAUGGACGCCCACUCCGAUCUGCACCGAAGUUAACAUCGGCUGAAUUGACUGAUAUCUGUUGACGGUCCGUUCAGGAGAUUCAUGACAUGCGAACAUCGUAGUAAUAUAUUUUUGUGCAGAGCGGAUCAACGCAUGGUGUAUGGACAAACUGCUGCGUUGUCUCGCUGUUGCGGAUGUAUAUCAAUCCUUGAAAACCUUCCAUCCAUGCUGCGCAACACCUUGUGAGGUUUUUCCCAAAACACUCGCGGCAAACUAAGUCUUUCAUGAGAUAUUUGCUUCUCGAUAUACUAAGAUGUGAAGAUCUGUCACGUCUAUGAUCUGUACCCACCGUGUGAUGAUCUGACAAGUGGAAUAUGCGAGUAAUAGCCAGCGUAUCGUGUCCUACGGGAGUGUCGCUGGUGACUUUUUUGUGCUUACUACCCGAAUUUGGAAUUCAAUUCAUGAGUACCGUGUUUAGGUUACCUGACUGGCAUUCAAAUAACAUUCGGAGGCAAAGUACGAGGCUUGACGUAAGAGCCAGGCGGGACUGCCCUCUGUCAAACCUUUACACCCGUACACUUCGUUUUAUGUCGCAGCUAAAGUUUUGAAAGUCGAGCCUGUAACAAGUUGAAAAGGUCGAGUGUAUCUUAACCUCUCCAUGCAGUGUCUAUAUUAUGUGCUGCCGAAGUGUGUGUGUGUGUGUGAGGGUAGGAGGAUAUCCUCGGGGCACGCAUAGCCCGUCGCUGUUGAGCUUGGCGUGUCGGACUUAUGACAGGAGCUUGCGCGUGCACUGUCCUUUGUCCUAAAUACAAGGAUGCUCGGAUUGUU